GAUGAACGCUGGCGGCGUGCCUAAUACAUGCAAGUCGAGCGAACGGACGAGAAGCUUGCUUCUCUGAUGUUAGCGGCGGACGGGUGAGUAACACGUGGAUAACCUACCUAUAAGACUGGGAUAACUUCGGGAAACCGGAGCUAAUACCGGAUAAUAUUUUGAACCGCAUGGUUCAAAAGUGAAAGACGGUCUUGCUGUCACUUAUAGAUGGAUCCGCGCUGCAUUAGCUAGUUGGUAAGGUAACGGCUUACCAAGGCAACGAUGCAUAGCCGACCUGAGAGGGUGAUCGGCCACACUGGAACUGAGACACGGUCCAGACUCCUACGGGAGGCAGCAGGAGGGAAUCUUCCGCAAUGGGCGAAAGCCUGACGGAGCAACGCCGCGUGAGUGAUGAAGGUCUUCGGAUCGUAAAACGCUGUUAUUAGGGAAGAACAUAUGUGUAAGUAACUGUGCACAUCUUGACGGUACCUAAUCAGAAAGCCACGGCUAACUACGU
rnacentral:rRNA from 1 species